GACCUGGGAUGUUCGACAGCUUCUGUUAUUUUGAACCUACAUCACGUUAAACGGGACUCCUAUAUUGCCAUCCGUAUGUCAGGCCUCAUUUGAAUUCGGUGGAAGGCAGAAAGAUGGUUGCGGUUACCCACCUGGCAUUUGCUAGGCGUCAAAAUACAGAAAACGGCAUCUUGGGA
rnacentral:other from 1 species